rnacentral:rRNA from 1 species
UACGGAGGGUGCAAGCGUUAUCCGGAUUCACUGGGUUUAAAGGGUGCGUAGGUGGAAUGGUAAGUCAGUGGUGAAAUCUCCAAGCUUAACUUGGAAACUGCCGUUGAUACUAUCAUUCUUGAAUAUUGUGGAGGUGAGCGGAAUAUGUCAUGUAGCGGUGAAAUGCUUAGAUAUGACAUAGAACACCAAUUGCGAAGGCAGCUCGCUACACAUAUAUUGACUCUGAGGCACGAAAGCGUGGGGAUCAAACAGG